AUGCAGUGGCAGAUGGGUUGAGGCUAGUUAAUUUGUCUGUCCGAGUCAACUGUUUCUUACAUGUAAGUAUUAAGUAUAGGACCAGUCAAAUUCUCUGCAUGCACUGCCAGCUUCCCUUUGUAGAUCCGAAGAUAACAAACGCUCUCUCAAACAAUUGUACAAUCUGUCACAUUUGUUGUCUUUCUGACCAAGACAUAUUUUGUUUUAUUGCAAAGAAUUUAUGGUUUAAAGGAAACAAGGACAAGAUGAGAAUGUAGUUUGGUGUUUUCUUUAAUUUGUUUUCCCCCCCUUC